CAAUGGCACUGCCCGGUAGCUAAAUGCGGAAGAGAUAAGUGCUGAAAGCAUCUAAGCACGAAACUUGCCCCGAGAUGAGUUCUCCCUGACUCCUUGAGAGUCCUGAAGGAACGUUGAAGACGACGACGUUGAUAGGCCGGGUGUGUAAGCGCAGCGAUGCGUUGAGCUAACCGGUACUAAUGAACCGUGAGGCUUAACCUUACAACGCCGAAGCUGUU
rnacentral:rRNA from 1 species